UAUGUUUGGAACUUAGAAGUACUUGAUGUUCUGUAAGUAAUCAGCAAUGUUUGAACACGAUGUUCAAACAAGCCGCCACUGAGCCACGGAUGGCGAAUUGGCGGCGGUUGCGUGCAGGAGUUCUGUGUGAAUCAGAACAUCUAGCACUUCUUAGUUUCAAUACAU
rfam:Clostridium sp. CAG:127 genomic scaffold, scf166